UCGCGGAGCUUUCCCUGGCGCGACCUCACACGGUCGCUGCCUCUAUUCCGACCACGCUCUGCUUCGCUGGCUGCGGCUCCGCCAGGAAUCCGAGGGGGCGCAGGCCCAGGCUCGGCCCUAGAUGCGCGGAAUCGCCAUCAGCCUUUGCUUACACCAGCGUGGCCGCAGGGAAACUCCUUUCUCUCCCUCCAGUGUCACUUUGCGAGACAAGAACAGAGGGCUCAUACAAAAGAAGGCUAAUUUGGGGUCUGUAGCUUGGACCAGGUGGAACUGUGAGGAGGAACCACCUGUCUCACCGCCCCACCCCCCAACUGCUUUUUCUAACUCCCUUUGUGGUCCUCCACACCUGUUUAGGGCGCUGAGCCACUCUGUCUCCUGGUAGUGUUAUUUUGCUCCAAGUUUUAUCGCAAUUUUUGAUUCACUCGACAGUAUUUAUUCAGCUAGGGCUCUGUGCCAGGGACUACGCAAGGCCUGAAAAUUCAAACUUAAUCUAGAUGCAGCUCCUACUCACACGGAACUUACACAUUCACAAUAAAUCACCCAAAUAAUAUGUAGUUACUUUCUGACAGAUGUUACUCUAGGAUCCAGUGAGAUAGAGAGGGUUGUAAUGGAGAUUCGUGUGUGGGUUUUUGCACCAUUUCUUGAUCUCUCAGCAUUCCAAGGUCGUGAGAGGAGUCCUUGAGUGGAAGUCCGUCCUAGGUUUGAACCCUGGCUUUGCCUUUUUCCAGCUGUGCAGUACCGCUCUUGUGGGCUCCCGCCACACCCUGGAGUCACUCCCAUCACAGCCAGAGUAAACCAGUGUGUGUUUUCUGGCUUCCCUCCUUGAGGGUGAGCCCCUGUUUUAUCUAUCUUUGAACCCCCCAGUGCCUCGAGAAACGCUGAGGAAACACAGCCUCCGAGCACCUGUUUCCUGAGCUGUAAAAAAUGGUCACAACCUGCCCUGUGUACUGGCUUGGUUUGUGCUAGGGAUCCAAACAAUUCAGGAUGAGAUCAUGUGCCUGAGUUUGUAGAUCACAAAAGUCGCUAAUAGAAGGAGUUAUUCCUUCUGAUUCUGUAUUUUGGAUUUAGAGAAACUGUGACUCUAGGCCUCUGACCUUCAACAAGAAACACUUGGGCCCCUCAGUUGCUCCCGCAGUCUCCCACAGCUAGGCACAGGCUUCUAAGCCGGGCUGAGCUGGGCUCGCGAGUGCCAUCGAGGCAACCAGGCGCAGGGAGCGGAAGGCAGGAGUGUAACUGGGCGCUGGGGGGCGCUGCUCCGCAACCCCAAGAUCCGAGGAAUGCCUCCGGGGGAUGAUUUCUCUGGAGGGGUCUCGCAGGGCCCCCUCUGCGCUGCUUUCUCAGGCACCAGAACCGAAAUCCUCGGGAGGGACCGCGGGAGCCCGGGGCGUGCAGACAGGCGGCUUUCACAGACGCAGCGGGAGGAAGGAUCCCUCUACUGCUCCCUUUCCCGAUUUGACCGUCUAGGGCCUUUGAGAGGACUUUCCUUUUGGGAAAGCUUUUCUCAAUUCGUGGCCUGUGGGCAGGCUGGGGGGUGGGGCGCCAAGUCAUCCGAGCGCGGCUUCUGCUUCUCCCUUUCCCUCACAGGCAUGCUCUACGGAGGGUAUGGGAGGCGAGGGCGCGUCUAUGAGGGCCAGAGUCCGCGAAGAGAGUCCGGCCCUUAGGCCUUUGGUGUUGAAGAAUCUGCUCCUCUGUCGGGUCAAGCCCCACUAGAAGUUAACACCUGUGGUCUCCAAACUUGCCUAUUUUCCUGUCACGCAGUUCAAGCCAAGAUUCAACUCGUCUUGAAUUUUUGUAUUUAGAGCCCCUACCUUCUCCACCGACUCCAGGGGCGCCCUCUGGCGGGAAGGGGCCUGGGGUAGGAGGGAACCUGAGGGAGCGGGUUACAAAGCAGAGAACAGCGGGAGCUCAGCAGCUCCCUUUGAAUUGCGAGGAAACCAAGACGGAGACGGGAGGUAGGAGCACGGGCCUGAAGCGGUCAGCCGACCCUGUGAGGCCCGCGCUGCCGUGCUACGCCGCGAAUCCGCCAGACGCCCCCGUCGGAAGGGGCAGGGACACCCUCGGGGGCGCUCUAGGGUUCGUGCUGCGCUAAGUGUGAAGAGGAAAAGUAAAACCAGCAGCAAGAAGACUGUAGAGAUCCAGCUGUGAGAAGACAGCGGCCCAUUCACUACAGUGGCUCUGGGUUCUGGCCUCUGGACUCAUGACUGGACCAAGCCCUCCAGGAAUCACUUUGUCUCCCCUCUCUCAUUCCCUGAUGAAGACAAGUCUCUGUGAGGUUGUUGCCGCCUCCUAGCUAUUAUGAAUAAUAAUGCAAUGAACAUGAAGAUACAGAUGUCUUUUCAAGAUGUAAAAGCUGAGGUUCAGAUCCCAAAGACUUGAUGCAGGUAGGACCGUCGUUCAAGAUUAAGCUAGGAUGAGUGCAGAAGAUUAUCAAAUACCUUCUGUUGGCACUGUUCUGAAGACUCAAUAAUGAAA
rnacentral:lncRNA from 1 species